AGGACGAACGCUGGCGGCGUGCUUAACACAUGCAAGUCGAGCGGAAAGGCCCUUCGGGGUACUCGAGCGGCGAACGGGUGAGUAACACGUGAGCAACCUGCCCCUGGCUCUGGGAUAGCCUUCGGAGACGGGGAUUAAUACCGGAUAUUCACUGCUUCCUGCAUGGGGGGUGUGGAAAGUUUUUCGGCUGGGUGGGGCUCGCGGCCUAUCAGCUUGUUGGGGGGGUGACGGCCCACCAAGGCGACGACGGGUAG
rnacentral:rRNA from 1 species